rnacentral:sRNA from 4 species
CUGAACGGCUGCUGAACCGGCCAGGGGCAAGGUGUGCAGCGCGCAAAAAUUUGUAGGUUCUUGCAUUGGCUCAGUUUACUUACUACAAGUAAUGGGUAGUAUGUGUGCCGGCCACUUUCUCACUUGUCAGAGG